rnacentral:rRNA from 1 species
UACAGAGGUCCCGAGCGUUGUUCGGAUUUAUUGGGCGUAAAGGGCGCGUAGGUGGCCAAGUAAGUUGGAUGUGAAAUCCUGGGGCUUAACCUCAGAAUUGCAUUCAAUACUGCUUAGCUAGAGAGCUGUAGAGGAGACUGGAAUUUACGGUGUAGCAGUGAAAUGCGUAGAUAUCGUAAGGAACGCCAGUGGCGAAAGCGAGUCUCUGGGCAGCAUCUGACACUGAGGCACGAAGGCCAGGGGAGCAAACGGG